UAGGGAAUCUUCCACAAUGGACGCAAGUCUGAUGGAGCAACGCCGCGUGAGUGAAGAAGGUCUUCGGAUCGUAAAGCUCUGUUGUUGGUGAAGAAGGAUAGAAGCAGUAACUGGUCUUUAUUUGACGGUAAUCAACCAGAAAGUCACGGCUAACUACGUGCCAGCAGCCGCGGUAAUACGUAGGUGGCAAGCGUUGUCCGGAUUUAUUGGGCGUAAAGCGAGCGCAGGCGGAAUGAUAAGUCNGAUGUGAAAGCCCACGGCUCAACCGUGGAACUGCAUCGGAAACUGUCAUUCUUGAGUGCAGAAGAGGAGAGUGGAACUCCAUGUGUAGCGGUGGAAUGCGUAGAUAUAUGGAAGAACACCAGUGGCGAAGGCGGCUCUCUGGUCUGCAACUGACGCUGAGGCUCGAAAGCAUGGGUAGCGAACAGGAUUAGAU
rnacentral:rRNA from 1 species